CGAACGAACUCUGAUAUUGAUUGGUGCUUGCAUCAUGAUUUACAUUUGAGUGAGUGGCGAACUGGUGAGUAACACGUGGGAAACCUGCCCAGAAGCGGGGGAUAACACCUGGAAACAGAUGCUAAUACCGCAUAACAACUUGGACCGCAUGGUCCGAGUUUGAAAGAUGGCUUCGGCUAUCACUUUUGGAUGGUCCCGCGGCGUAUUAGCUAGAUGGUGGGGUAACGGCUCACCAUGGCAAUGAUACGUAGCCGACCUGAGAGGGUAAUCGGCCACAUUGGGACUGAGACACGGCCCAAACUCCUACGGGAGGCAGCAGUAGGGAAUCUUCCACAAUGGACGAAAGUCUGAUGGAGCAACGCCGCGUGAGUGAAGAAGGGUUUCGGCUCGUAAAACUCUGUUGUUAAAGAAGAACAUAUCUGAGAGUAACUGUUCAGGUAUUGACGGUAUUUAACCAGAAAGCCACGGCAAACUACGGGCCAGCAGCCGCGGUAAUACGUAGGUGGCAAGCGUUGUCCGGAUUUAUUGGGCGUAAAGCGAGCGCAGGCGGUUUUUUAAGUCUGAUGUGAAAGCCUUCGGCUCAACCGAAGAAGUGCAUCGGAAACUGGGAAACUUGAGUGCAGAAGAGGACAGUGGAACUCCAUGUGUAGCGGUGAAAUGCGUAGAUAUAUGGAAGAACACCAGUGGCGAAGGCGGCUGUCUGGUCUGUAACUGACGCUGAGGCUCGAAAGUAUGGGUAGCAAACAGGAUUAGAUACCCUGGUAGUCCAUACCGUAAACGAUGAAUGCUAAGUGUUGGAGGGUUUCCGCCCUUCAGUGCUGCAGCUAACGCAUUAAGCAUUCCGCCUGGGGAGUACGGCCGCAAGGCUGAAACUCAAAGGAAUUGACGGGGGCCCGCACAAGCGGUGGAGCAUGUGGUUUAAUUCGAAGCUACGCGAAGAACCUUACCAGGUCUUGACAUACUAUGCAAAUCUAAGAGAUUAGACGUUCCCUUCGGGGACAUGGAUACAGGUGGUGCAUGGUUGUCGUCAGCUCGUGUCGUGAGAUGUUGGGUUAAGUCCCGCAACGAGCGCAACCCUUAUUAUCAGUUGCCAGCAUUAAGUUGGGCACUCUGGUGAGACUGCCGGUGACAAACCGGAGGAAGGUGGGGAUGACGUCAAAUCAUCAUGCCCCUUAUGACCUGGGCUACACACGUGCUACAAUGGAUGGUACAACGAGUUGCGAACUCGCGAGAGUAAGCUAAUCUCUUAAAGCCAUUCUCAGUUCGGAUUGUAGGCUGCAACUCGCCUACAUGAAGUCGGAAUCGCUAGUA
rnacentral:rRNA from 2 species